AGUUGAGUCGCACUGUCAACCGUGGUGACGAUAAUGCUCAAUAUCAUCAAGAGCCUCAGGGGCAAACGUAGAAACGAAAGUGCCGGAAUACUGAAAAAUAUUUUCUUCCCGUGAAAAAAUUGCACGAAUAACACGGCACGUAUUCGGCGUUGAUAGUUCGACGAGAGCGUGCCGACUGGACGACAAUAAAAUCUCAUGCCAGUAGACACCACCGCCGCCGCCGUUGCAGCCGAGAUUUUCUCGCCGGGAAAAACACGCACACACACACAGUCAACCGUGUUCACAAGAACAAGAGAGAGACCCACGAACCUACCGGUGAAUGCUGUCUCAUACGCCGAAGAAUCCACCGUGUGAUAAUACGUUCGAUCGUAGUCGCUGAUAGUGAAAUCCUCCCGCACCAGGAUCUUGUCUCAAGAUUCCGAACAUCUCCUGUACACACACUCUCCGUCGGAUUCUUUCUCUCCUCGGGUUCCUCCCUGUCGUCUCUCUAUCUUUAUCUUUCUGUAGAAACAAAUCUUUCGCGCUUUCUUUCUUCCCUUCUUUCCUUCUUUCUGUUGCAAGG